GAUGAACGCUGGCGGCGUGCCUAAUACAUGCAAGUCGAGCGAACAGACGAGGAGCUUGCUCCUCUGACGUUAGCGGCGGACGGGUGAGUAACACGUGGAUAACCUACCUAUAAGACUGGGAUAACUUCGGGAAACCGGAGCUAAUACCGGAUAAUAUAUUGAACCGCAUGGUUCAAUAGUGAAAGACGGUUUUGCUGUCACUUAUAGAUGGAUCCGCGCCGCAUUAGCUAGUUGGUAAGGUAACGGCUUACCAAGGCGACGAUGCGUAGCCGACCUGAGAGGGUGAUCGGCCACACUGGAACUGAGACACGGUCCAGACUCCUACGGGAGGCAGCAGUAGGGAAUCUUCCGCAAUGGGCGAAAGCCUUACGGAGCAACGCCGCGUGAGUGAUGAAGGUCUUCGGAUCGUAAAACUCUGUUAUUAGGGAAGAACAAAUGUGUAAGUAACUAUGCACGUCUUGACGGUACCUAAUCAGAAAGCCACGGCUAACUACGUG
rnacentral:rRNA from 1 species